rnacentral:rRNA from 1 species
CGGCAGCGGGGGUGCUUGCACCUGCCGGCGAGUGGCGAACGGGUGAGUAACAUAUUGGAAUGUACUGAGUAGUGGGGGGUAACCAAUCGAAAGAUUGGCUAAUACCGCAUACGUCCUGAGGGGGAAAGCAGGGGAUCUUCGGACCUUGCGCUAUUUGAGCAGCCAAUAUCUGAUUAGCUAGUUGGUGGGGUAAAGGCCCACCAAGGCGACGAUCAGUAGCGGGUCUGAGAGGAUGAUCCGCCACACUGGGACUGAGACACGGCCCAGACUCCUACGGGAGGCAGCAGUGGGGAAUUUUGGACAAUGGGGGCAACCCUGAUCCAGCCAUGCCGCGUGUCUGAAGAAGGCCUUCGGGUUGUAAAGGACUUUUGUUAGGGAAGAAAAGGGAAGUGCUAAUACCACUUUUUGCUGACGGUACCUAAAGAAUAAGCACCGGCUAACUACGUGCCAGCAGCCGCGGUAAUACGUAGGGUGCGAGCGUUAAUCGGAAUUACUGGGCGUAAAGCGAGCGCAGACGGUUACUUAAGCAAGAUGUGAAAUCCCCGGGCUCAACCUGGGAACUGCGUUCUGAACUGGGUAGCUAGGGUAUGUCAGAGGGGGGUAGAAUUCCACGUGUAGCAGUGAAAUGCGUAGAGAUGUGGAGGAAUACCGAUGGCGAAGGCAGCCCCCUGGGAUAAUACUGACGUUCAUGCUCGAAAGCGUGGGUAGCAAACAGGAUUAGAUANCCUGGUAGUCCACGCCCUAAACGAUGUCGAUUAGCUGUUGGGCAACUUGAUUGCUUA